CGGGCUAACGCCGGGCGUGAAGCGGGGGUUAGACGGAGGGUCCGAGUGUUAAUCGGAAUGACUGGGCGUAAAGCGUGCGCAGGCGUGUUGUUAAGCGAGAGGUGAAAGCCCUGGGCGCAACCUAGGAAUAGCAUUUCGAACUGGCGAACUAGAGUCUUGUAGAGGGGGGUAGAAUUCCAGGUGUAGCGGUGAAAUGCGUAGAGAUCUGGAGGAAUACCGGUGGCGAAGGCGGCCCCCUGGACAAAGACUGACGCUCAUGCACGAAAGCGUGGGGAGCAAACAGGAUUAGAUACCCUGAGUC
rnacentral:rRNA from 1 species